ACAAGGUCUCCGUUGGUGAACCAGCGGAGGGAUCAUUACUGAGUUUACGCUCUACAACCCUUUGUGAACAUACCUAUAACUGUUGCUUCGGCGGGUAGGGUCUCCGUGACCCUCCCGGCCUCCCGCCCCCGGGCGGGUCGGCGCCCGCCGGAGGAUAACCAAACUCUGAUUUAACGACGUUUCUUCUGAGUGGUACAAGCAAAUAAUCAAAACUUUUAACAACGGAUCUCUUGGUUCUGGCAUCGAUGAAGAACGCAGCGAAAUGCGAUAAGUAAUGUGAAUUGCAGAAUUCAGUGAAUCAUCGAAUCUUUGAACGCACAUUGCGCCCGCCAGCAUUCUGGCGGGCAUGCCUGUUCGAGCGUCAUUUCAACCCUCAAGCUCUGCUUGGUGUUGGGGCCCUACAGCUGAUGUAGGCCCUCAAAGGUAGUGGCGGACCCUCCCGGAGCCUCCUUUGCGUAGUAACUUUACGUCUCGCACUGGGAUCCGGAGGGACUCUUGCCGUAAAACCCCCAAUUUUCCAAAGGUUGACCUCGGAUCAGGUAGGAAUACCCGCUGAACUUAAGCAUAU
rnacentral:rRNA from 1 species